CCCACCGUGCCAAUAAUCGGUACGGGUUGUGAGAGCAAGAGCCCGGACGGUAUCUGAGACACGAUACCGGGCCCUACGGGGCGCAGCAGCGGCGAAACCUUUACACUGCACGCCAGUGCGAUAAGGGGACUCCAAGUGCGAGGGCAUAUAGUCCUCGCUUUUCGCGACCGUAAGGUGGUCGCAGAAUAAGUGCUGGGCAAGACCGGUGCCAGCCGCCGCGGUAAUACCGGCAGCACGAGUGAUGACCGCUAUUAUUGGGCCUAAAGCGUCCGUAGCUGGCCAGCCAAGUCCAUCGGGAAAUCCGGCGCUUAACGCGCGGGCGUCCGGUGGAAACUGGAUGGCUUGGGACCGGAAGACCAGAGGGUACGUCCGGGGUAGGAGUGAAAUCCCGUAAUCCUGGACGGACCACCGGUGGCGAAAGCGCCUCUGGAAGACGGAUCCGACGGUGAGGGACGAAAGCUCGGGUCACGAACCGGAUUAGAUACCCGGGUAGUCCGAGCUGUAAACGAUGUCUGCUAGGUGUGACACAGGCUACGAGCCUGUGUUGUGCCGUAGGGAAGCCGUGAAGCAGACCGCCUGGGAAGUACGUCCGCAAGGAUGAAACUUAAAGGAAUUGGCGGGGGAGCACUACAACCGGAGGAGCCUGCGGUUUAAUUGGACUCAACGCCGGACAUCUCACCAGCAUCGACAGUGUACUGUGAAGGUCAGUGUGAUGAGCUUACUGGAGUCACUGAGAGGAGGUGCAUGGCCGCCGUCAGCUCGUACCGUGAGGCGUCCUGUUAAGUCAGGCGACGAGCGAGACCCGCACUCUUAAUUGCCAGCAACACCCUUGUGGUGGUUGGGUACAUUAGGAGGACUGCCAGUGCCAAACUGGAGGAAGGAACGGGCAACGGUAGGUCAGUAUGCCCCGAAUGUGCUGGGCGACACGCGGGCUACAAUGGCCAAGACAGUGGGAUGCAACCCCGAAAGGGGGCGCUAAUCUCCGAAACUUGGUCGUAGUUCGGAUUGAGGGCUGAAACUCGCCCUCAUGAAGCUGGAUUCGGUAGUAAUCGCGCCUCAGAAGGGCGCGGUGAAUACGUCCCUGCUCCUUGCACACACCGCCCGUCAAAGCACCCGAGUGGGGUCCGGAUGAGGCCUCUGUAACAGAGGUCGAAUCUGGGCUCCGCAAGG
rnacentral:rRNA from 1 species